CGAACGGGUAAGUAAUGCGUGACCAACCUGCCCCAUGCUCCAGAAUGGCUCUUGGAAACGGGUGGUAAUGCUGGAUGCUCCAACUUGACGCAUGUCUUGUUGGGAAAGUGUUUAGUGGCAUGGGAUGGGGUCGCGUCCUAUCAGCUUGUAGGCGGGGUAAUGGCCCACCUAGGCUUCGACGGGUAGCCGGCCUGAGAGGGCGGACGGCCACAUUGGGACUGAGAUACGGCCCAGACUCCUACGGGAGGCAGCAGCC
rnacentral:rRNA from 1 species